UCGAGCGAACGGACGAGAAGCUUGCUUCUCUGAUGUUAGCGGCGGACGGGUGAGUAACACGUGGAUAACCUACCUAUAAGACUGGGAUAACUUCGGGAAACCGGAGCUAAUACCGGAUAAUAUUUUGAACCGCAUGGUUCAAAAGUGAAAGACGGUCUUGCUGUCACUUAUAGAUGGAUCCGCGCUGCAUUAGCUAGUUGGUAAGGUAACGGCUUACCAAGGCAACGAUGCAUAGCCGACCUGAGAGGGUGAUCGGCCACACAUGGAACUGAGACACGGUCCAGACUCCUACGGGAGGCAGCAGUAGGGAAUCUUCCGCAAUGGGCGAAAGCCUGACGGAGCAACGCCGCGUGAGUGAUGAAGGUCUUCGGAUCGUAAAACUCUGUUAUUAGGGAAGAACAUAUGUGUAAGUAACUGUGCACAUCUUGACGGUACCUAAUCAGAAAGCCACGGCUAACUACGUGCCAGCAGCCGCGGUAAUACGUAGGUGGCAAGCGUUAUCCGGAAUUAUUGGGCGUAAAGCGCGCGUAGGCGGUUUUUUAAGUCUGAUGUGAAAGCCCACGGCUCAACCGUGGAGGGUCAUUGGAAACUGGAAAACUUGAGUGCAGAAGAGGAAAGUGGAAUUCCAUGUGUAGCGGUGAAAUGCGCAGAGAUAUGGAGGAACACCAGUGGCGAAGGCGACUUUCUGGUCU
rnacentral:rRNA from 1 species